rnacentral:rRNA from 1 species
AGAGUUUGAUCCUGGCUCAGGAUGAACGCUAGCUACAGGCUUAACACAUGCAAGUCGAGGGGCAGCAUGAACUUAGCUUGCUAAGUUUGAUGGCGACCGGCGCACGGGUGAGUAACGCGUAUCCAACCUACCCCUUAGUAGGGCAUAGCCCGUAGAAAUGCGGAUUAAUACCCUAUGUUUUCCGGAGACGGCAUCAGAACUGGAACAAAGAUUGAUCGCUAAGGGAUGGGGAUGCGUACGAUUAGGUUGUUGGCGGGGUAACGGCCCACCAAGCCUGCGAUCGUUAGGGGUUCUGAGAGGAAGGUCCCCCACACUGGUACUGAGACACGGACCAGACUCCUACGGGAGGCAGCAGUGAGGAAUAUUGGUCAAUGGGCGUGAGCCUGAACCAGCCAAGUAGCGUGCAGGACGACGGCCCUACGGGUUGUAAACUGCUUUUAUCAGGGGAUAAAGUGCGGGACGUGUCCCUCAUUGCAGGUACCUGAUGAAUAAGGACCGGCUAAUUCCGUGCCAGCAGCCGCGGUAAUACGGAAGGUCCGGGCGUUAUCCGGAUUUAUUGGGUUUAAAGGGAGCGCAGGCGGGUGCUUAAGCGUGCUGUGAAAUGUACCGGCUCAACCGGUGACGUGCAGCGCGAACUGGGUGCCUUGAGUGAGUGCGAGGUAUGCGGAAUUCGUGGUGUAGCGGUGAAAUGCUUAGAUAUCACGAAGAACCCCGAUUGCGAAGGCAGCGUACCAGUCCUUUACUGACGCUAAAGCUCGAAGGUGCGGGUAUCGAACAGGAUUAGAUACCCUGGUAGUCCGCACGGUAAACGAUGGAUGCCCGCUGUCGGCGAUAGAAUGUCGGCGGCCAAGCGAAAGCGUUAAGCAUCC